AUACGGAGGGAGCUAGCGUUGUUCGGAAUUACUGGGCGUAAAGCGCGCGUAGGCGGUCCAUCAAGUCAGAGGUGAAAGCCCGGGGCUCAACCCCGGAACUGCCUUUGAAACUAGCGGACUAGAAUCUUGGAGAGGUCAGUGGAAUUCCGAGUGUAGAGGUGAAAUUCGUAGAUAUUCGGAAGAACACCAGUGGAGAAGGCGACUGACUGGACAAGUAUUGACGCUGAGGUGCGAAAGCGUGGGGAGC
rnacentral:rRNA from 1 species